ensembl:lncRNA novel transcript
UUCUUUGUCAUAGACGAGCCUGACCUCACAGCCAUCUGACAACAAGAGAGCCAGGAAACAGUCGACCCUAUGGCUCCUAAGUCCAUAGGUUCUGGGCAGGCAAAGCCACUCAGUAGACCAAGCCUCAGUAUGAAAUGACAGCCUGGAAGACCCUGACUUCUGUUCCUGCAGGCAGUCUUCCACCUUCACAUCUGCCUGGGACACUGCAGAGGCAUCUCUCACCCAUAGAUGGGGCACUCAGUGCUGAAGCAGACGUCUGUCCCAAAGAUCCAGAUCCCACCCCUGCACAUUUUGGCUGAAUCACUUCCCGUCAUUCCAAGCAGAGGAAGAUCCAAAAAUUCUCACCUCCAUAGUUUGAACAGCUAAUUUGCUUUUUGUUCUUGUUGCAGUGAGUACAUUGUCACGGGCAGAAAUGCUAGCUCAUACACCAAAAGGAAGAAAAUUGCUUUCAUUAUUAUACAUUCAAAAGGAGAUGAAGAAAGCUGGAAGCCCCAUCAAAACUGCCAGCCUCCAAGCUGAGACGGGAACAUGGCUGCCUUUGGGAGAAAGAGUGGCCUGACAGCUCAUGCCCAUCAGCCAAGGGCUCCCCUUGGCCUGGAAUACACCCUCCGGAACAGCCAGCAGGUGCACCCACAAACGCAGCACCCUCCAUACCUCACCUUCAAGCUGGCACUUGCUGAACUGCACACACAUUUUUCUAAGAGAGGUUGUCACCUAUACUGAGCUUAAUAGAAAUUGUUAAUCUUAUAUGUAAAGGUAAUAAUUUGUCAUAAAUAAUUGUUCAUUAUCUGGGCCUUUGCUUGUCUUGGAGUUGAGCUGUAUGCAAUAAAGCAGUGCAAUUUUGAGUAA